GAAAACAGCAGCUGAGGAGCAGGACGAAUCGGUCAAAGAACCAUCUAUGGGAACUGGACCCCGAGAGUCUGAAGAGGUGAUUGUGGAACCUGAGGGGAGAGAACGAGUACCCCCCAAUCCCAGAAACGCCUCGGGAGUACCGGUGUGUCGAUCAGAGUUGUUGGAUGUGCAAAGAUCGUGAGACACCAUGGCCAUCCAGCCCUACAGAGGAUUACUUAAGGGAUGUAAGCGUUACAUCAGCAGCUGAAGGUGGGGAGGAAUGUAUGGAUAGUGGUCUGGUAACCACGGCCAUGCCUGAAGAGCAAAAUGUAAAUGAGGAGGUUCCCAAGAUGGCCAGGACCAUUGAGAACAUGCAUCUAGGCGAUGUCAGCGUUUCCUGUAUCACAUGUGUCUGUACUGAAAACGAUCAAUAAAAGAAUUUUGUUUGAAAAAA